GGAGAGGACGAGUGCAUGCGGAUUCGCACCAGGCAAAAUACGCUCUCCAGGUCCGAUAGUAAAUGCGGGCCGACUGGGGCUUGCGAGCGUGAAGCAUCGUCCGGAUGACCGAGUCCGAGAGACCACGGGACUUCAGGACCGCAGUCUCAACAGCCACGCCGUCAAACGAAGCUGAGGUAAAUUCGGGUGGAACAGAGGGCCCUGGGAAAGGAG